UGCUGAGCCAUUCGGGACCUCUCAAGAAGGUCAGCCUCCAGAAUGGGGCAUUGACACUGAUCACGCUCAGUCUCACAGCAUGAAGAGUGACACACUUCACUUGACAAGGAGGAGUCUGCACACAACCCUGAACUACUGUGCAGCCUGCGGAAACAUGGAAACAUGAACGUCUCUCCAUGAGCAUUUUCAUGCGCUCUGAAGGCAGCUGUAUAGGCCUCCAUGGUUUAAGGAAGCCUCAGUCACUCACUCAUCUACCCCAGAACAAGCCGCAAGGAAGCCAUCGCAGCCAGAAAAAUAGGAGAGUCCUCCAGCCUCCCAGGAGCCUGGCCAACCUCUUCACUUCCUUCCUGGCCAGGAACUGGGCUUCUGGUUUUCCAAAGUCCUUCGGGGCGGCCACGCACCUCCCUGCUGCCCCAUUGCCCUCGUUUACCAGAACUAUCCAGAAGUAGCCAGCGGACCUGUGGGCAGAAGAAAAACUCUCUUAAAACCAGGAUUUUAAGAAGCUGGAAAUAUAUCAAGAUAAGCUAGAAUUCGGAAGACAAAGCCCGAUUUGUGUGUGGAGCGGGUCCAAGGAUCUCGAAUGGACUUCAGGAUCAUGUAGCCCAAGGGGAAAGAGGACAUUCCUACAGAACAUAACAAUUCCCCAAGAGAACAGAAUUUACACGAACACACUCACACCUAACUCCCCCACAUUUGUGUAAUACAUCACACACUGUGCCGAGAGCCGUCUGAAGUUAACAUGGCAGAAACCAUGUAAUUUCCAUUGUGCUCCAGAACAGAGUACUGCCAAAACAUUUUAAAAGGAAACAAUUCUUGUCCACAGGCUCACCAUUCAAUAUAUUUAUACCACCCGUAUAAAUAUUUUAUAUUUAUACCACCCGUAACCAAGGUCUCAAGGGAGUUCACAAGCCAAUUAGACGGGCACCCAAGGAGCCGCAAGGAAGAACGUACGGGAUCAAUUUACCUUCAGGGCUAAUGCCUGGGAG